rnacentral:rRNA from 1 species
CCUACGGGUGGCUGCAGUGAGGAAUAUUGGUCAAUGGGCGAAAGCCUGAACCAGCAAAGUCGCGUGAAGGAUGAAGGAUCUAUGGUUUUUAAACUUCUUUUUUAUGGAAGUAAAGUUGGGAGCGUGUUCCUUUUUGUAUGUACCAUAUCAAUCAGCAUCGGCAAACUCCGUGCCAGCAGCCGCGGUAAUACGGAGGAGGCGAGCGUUAUCCGGAUUUAUUGGGUUGAAAGGGAGCGUAGGUGGUACAUUAAGUCAGCGGUGAAAGUUUGUGGCUCAACCAUAAUAUUGCAGUGGAAACUGGGUGACUUGAGUAUAGGUGAGGCAAGCGGAAUGCGUGGUGUAGCGGUGAAAUGCAUAGAUAUAAGGAAGAACACCGGUGGCGAAGGCAGCUUACUAGACUAUAACUGACACUGAGGUACGAAAGCGUGGGGAGCAAACAGGAUUAGAUACCCGUGUAGUC